rnacentral:lncRNA from 1 species
UCGUUCAUUGUGAGAAUUUGAUCUCGUGAGUUAUCGUAAAAGCUGUAUUGAUCAUUAACCCGGUUUUUGUGAAAUUCGUUAAGGUUCGAAUCUCAUGACUACCAUUAAGGUUUGAUUUGGGUUUUACACCAAUACGUAUUCUAUUUCUGUUAAACCACCAAAAACACUCCCAACUACACCCUUACAAUCAAACAAACUAUUAAAUCAUCAGAAGAUCCAGAAUAAUAAAGUACAUGCUUAAUUAUCGGGAAAAGUAGAAUCAAGAAGUUUGUUAACUCAAUCCUGCAUGAUGAUUAGUAAUUACAAUAGAUUGAAGUAAGGAUUGGAUCCGACACUGAAUGACUUCAAGAAGUGGCUUAUUUUCAAAUUAAGAAAUAUUGUUUUAUUAAAAGCUACCUUUGUAAAACUUGGAAUUUAUUCCAUC